rnacentral:rRNA from 1 species
CCUGACCUCGAUUCGAGCGUGAAU